rnacentral:rRNA from 1 species
GAAAAGAUAACCGCUGAAAGCAUCUAAGCGGGAAACUUGCCUCAAGAUGAGAUCUCACUGGGAACUUGAUUCCCCUGAAGGGCCGUCGAAGACUACGACGUUGAUAGGCUGGGUGUGUAAGCGUUGUGAGGCGUUGAGCUAACCAGUACUAAUUGCCCGUGAGGCUUGACCAU